ACUGGUAGGAUAUCAAGCUUGACAUAACAUGUGGGUUCACUUACUGGUAGGAUAUCAAGCUUGACAUAACACUGUGGGUUCACUUACUGGUAGGAUAUUAAGCCUGACAUAACACUGUGGGUUCACUUACUGGUAGGAUAUCAAGCUUGACAUAACAUUGUGGGUUCACUUACUGGUAGGAUAUUAAGCCUGACAUAACACUGUGGGUUCACUUACUGGUAGGAUAUCAAGCUUGACAUAACAUUGUGUUUUCACUUACUGGUAGGAUAUCAAGCUUGACAUAACAUUGUGGGUUCACUUACUGGUAGAAUAUCAAGCUUGACAUAAUAUUGUAUGUUCACUUACUGGUAGGAUAUCAAGCUUGACAUAACAUGUGGGUUCACUUACUGGUAGGAUAUCAAGCUUGACAUAACAUUGUGGGUUCACUUACUGGUAGAAUAUCAAGCUUGACAUAACAUUGUGGGUUCACUUACUGGUAGAAUAUCAAGCUUGACAUAAUAUUGUAGGUUCACUUACUGGUAGGAUAUCAAGCUUGACAUAACAUUGUGGGUUCACUUACUGGUAGGAUAUCAAGCUUGACAUAAUAUUGUAGGUUCACUUACUGGUAGGAUAUCAAGCUUGAUAUAAUAUUGUAGGUUCACUUACUGGUAGGAUAUCAAGCUUGACAUAACAUUGUGGGUUCACUUACUGGUAGGAUAUCAAGCUUGACAUAACAUUGUGGGUUCACUUAUUGGUAGAAUAACUUGUACAUUGGUAUCUGAUUAAUUGCAAAUGUAAGAGAUACAGAUAAUUAGUCUAUACAUAUUUGCUAAUAAGAACAUUUUCUAUUUUUAAAAACCUGCAGUUUGUUUCAGAUGUAAAAUGAUAGUGAGGAUGGUUUCAUUAGGUCAGUUUUAAACAAGGGCUAAGGUAGAACACUUCUCUAUGAUGGACUAUUCAAGGGUUAAUGGCGGUAAUUUUUAUUUUUUUUUGCUCUUUUAUCAUUGUGAUGAUACAUUAAAAAGUCAGUAACUAUGAGUGAAAAUAUUAUCAAAAAACGUUCAAUCUUAUUUAGGUUCAAAUCAUCUUGUUUUUUUUCUUUUUUAGGAUAUAUAUUGUCAAGUAAAAAUAAAUUACUUUUAAGUAAUGGUGCAACAGGUUUGUGUCCAGUUUAAGUAAGGACUAAUUUUGUUUAUCAACAUUGAUAAAAGAUUUGUAUUUGUCAGUGCAACAUACUAACGAUCAUGGUUAGCUCUGUUUCACUUUCAAGAUGCUGUGAUUUAAUGGUGUUAAAAAUAUCGUAUUUCCAACCGUGCAAGUUUCAAAACUUUAAAGUUAUGUUAGUAGUUCGACUCGUUGUCGAGUAAUUUAUUGUGUGGUGGUUCUUAAAACUGACAAUUUGAUGUGCGUUUUUGUAUAUUUAACUGGUGAAUAUUUAUAUCGAGUACCUCUAGUUUUUGUAACUGGUAAUGGUCACAUAUAUAUAUAUAUAUAUCUGUUUAAAGUGUCUGAAUCUGUGUUAUUGUCAGAAAAUUGAUGUUUCUCUAAGUUUUUUUCCUUUAUCAUUAUAUUUUGUGCUAGGCAAGUUAACGAAUUUUUUUGUUAUCGUUAAGACAACAACAGAUCAAUUUCUUGGGUUGUCUUUAUUUAAACCUUUAUAAGCUGAUUAGACAUUUGAGUCACAUUCUGGGUACCUUUAUGGCAGUAAAACAUCAAAAUUUCAGAACGAAGUAAUUUUAUUCGAUCACUUUUCAAUUUAACUUGCGAUUAAAUGUUGAUUUACUGCAACUGCGCGGUGCAUUACGAAAAAAAAAAAGAAUAUAAAAAAGUGAUAUUAUGUUGUGCUAGAAGCAGUCUGUUUAAAAGUAACAACCAGUUCAUCAUUCAUAUUUGGAUUAUUCUAGAACAGUUAUCAGCAUACAAAUAAAUAAGUGGGGGGGGGAUAAUUUCUAUUUUGAGCAACUUUAUACUAAUUGAAAACAGAAAAAUUAAGUUUAUGGUAUCUUUAAGAUAUGACAUUUUUUUUUCAGGUGUAUCAUGCUACCAUAUUAAGAGUAAAAAACACAAAAACUUAUGUUUUUUUGUGGCACAGUGGAAGGUAGAACCUUUACUAUUAGUUACAGCCGACUAGUUUUGGUUACACGGUUAUCACCACUAGCCACGAUUAUCGAAACUAGUCAGCUAGGUUUUAACUUUCCUUGUGCCAAAAAAUGUUUGUACUUUUAACAUAUGAAAGUUUGUUUAAUGUUUUUUGAAAAUAAAAAAUUUGCCCAAAGGAUUAGAAAAAUUUGAAAUAUCAUAUUGAUAACAUCAUUGUAGAAAAGUGAGGGGAAAAAAAAAGUAAAAUUUAAGAUUCUUUCAUGUUUCUCAUUUUCUGGGUUUAUAGUGUUAACUGUAGAAUAUUUAUAAUUUGAAUCACGAUAAGAAGAAAAACAACAGUCUACUCCGUAUCAAUUGGAACUAAUGUAUCUUAUCCCGCCUAUUGGUGUUUUGUGCGAGCCCCCGAAGAAGCCGUAAUGGCAAACUGUUAGAAAAAAAUAAAUUCCAGUUUACCCGGAGAAAGUAGUUGUUUUCCUUUUGUUUAAUGGUGUAGAAAUUCAUUGUUAUAUUAUCAGAACUAUGUGUUGGUGUGUAUGUUAUAGGUUAUCUUGUAUAUCUUUAAAUAGAAGCUCUCACUAUAUGUAAUGUAAAGAAAUAUUCCAGUAAAGAACUGAUGCUGUACUUACUUUGGAUUAUAUAAAUAUUUUGUAAUUUUU